CCACACCGGUCCACACCAACUGCCACCGUCUCGAGCAACCAUUCCAGUACCUUCAUGUCGCCCGCCGCAAACAGCGCCGCUCUGCGAGUCCCAUUUGUAACUGCAAUAUCGGCCAACAAGGUCGCUACCCACAACUCGAAUCCCACCCUAAUUUCGUGGUUGGCAGAAGAAAGCGCAGAACUCAACGACUGCCAUAGCAUCGAUGCGGCAACACCUGUUUAUUUGAAUGAUAAAAAACUCCCCUAAAAGACUCAUUUGAUUUAGAAAUCUUGUGUCAAUGGCGGCAUGCAGAGGAUAAGAGUUAUGACUAUGUUUUGAUUCUGUCGAAUAGAGGUCAGUUCGAGAUAGGACAGCGGCUGAAGCG
rnacentral:lncRNA from 1 species